CCUACGGGAGGCAGCAGUGGGGAAUAUUGCACAAUGGGGGAAACCCUGAUGCAGCGACGCCGCGUGAGCGAGGAAGUAUUUCGGUAUGUAAAGCUCUAUCAGCAGGGACGAAAAAAGACGGUACCUGACUAAGAAGCCCCGGCUAACUACGUGCCAGCAGCCGCGGUAAUACGAAGGGGGCAGGCGUUAUCCGGAUUUACUGGGUGUAAAGGGAGCGUAGACGGCAAGGCAAGCCAGAAGUGAAAGGGCAGGCCUCAACGCGGUACAUGCUUUUGGAACUGUGGUGCUAGAGUGCGGGUGAGGUAAGUGGAAUGCCUGGUGUAGCGGUGAAAUGCAUAGAUAUUAGGAGGAACACCAGUGGCGAAGGCGGCUUACUGAACUGUAACUGACGUUGAGGCUCGAAAGCGUGGGGAGCAAACAGGAUUAGAUACCCCAGUAGUC
rnacentral:rRNA from 1 species